rnacentral:rRNA from 1 species
AUUGAACGCUGGCGGCAGGCCUAACACAUGCAAGUCGAGCGCGCGGCGGACGGGUGAGUAACGUCUGGGAAACUGCCUGAUGGCGGGGGAUAACUACUGGAAACGGUAGCUAAUACCGCAUACCAGUAGAUUUGCCCUGAUGGGAGUAGCUAGUAGGUGGGGUAACGGCUCACCUAGGCGACGAUCCAUAACUGGUCUGAGAGGAUGACCAGCCACACUGGAACUGAGACACGGUCCAGACUCCUACGGGAGGCAGCAGUGGGGAAUAUUGCGCAAUGGGCGAAAGCCUGAUGGAGCCAUGCCGCGUGUAUGAAGAAGGCCUUCGGGUUGUAAAGUACUGUCAGCGGGGAGGCGUUACCCGCAGAGGAAGCACCGGCUAACUCCGUGCCAGCCGCCGCGGUAAUAC